AUGAAGGCUGCCUACACCGCCUAUCGAUGCCUCACCAAAGACCUAGAAGGCUGCGCCAUGAACCCGGAGCUGACAAUGGAAAGUCUGGGCACUUUGCACGGGCCGGCCGGCGGCGGCAGCGGCGGGGGCGGUGGCGGGGGCGGCGGGGGCGGCGGGGGGGGGGGGGGGGGGCGGCGGGGGCCCAAGCCAUGAGCAGGAGCUGCUGGCCAGCCCCAGCCCCCACCACGCGGGCCGCGGCGCUGCUGGCUCGCUGCGGGGCCCUCCGCCGCCGCCAACGGCGCACCAGGAGCUGGGGACGGCGGCAGCGGCAGCGGCGGCGGCGUCGCGCUCGGCCAUGGUCACUAGCAUGGCCUCGAUCCUGGACGGCGGCGACUACCGGCCCGAGCUCUCCAUCCCGCUCCAUCACGCCAUGAGCAUGUCUUGCGACUCGUCCCCGCCCGGCAUGGGCAUGAGCAACACCUACACCACGCUGACGCCGCUCCAGCCGCUGCCGCCCAUCUCCACCGUGUCGGACAAGUUCCACCACCCGCACCCGCACCACCACCCGCACCACCACCACCACCACCACCACCAGCGCCUGUCGGGCAACGUCAGCGGCAGCUUCACCCUCAUGCGCGACGAGCGCGGGCUCCCGGCCAUGAACAACCUCUACAGCCCCUACAAGGAGAUGCCCGGCAUGAGCCAGAGCCUGUCCCCGCUGGCUGCCACGCCGCUGGGCAACGGGCUGGGCGGCCUCCACAACGCGCAGCAGAGCCUGCCCAACUACGGGCCGCCGGGCCACGACAAAAUGCUCAGCCCUAACUUCGACGCGCACCACACUGCCAUGCUGACCCGCGGUGAGCAGCACCUGUCCCGCGGCCUGGGCACCCCGCCCGCGGCCAUGAUGUCGCACCUCAACGGCCUGCACCACCCGGGCCAUGCUCAGUCCCACGGGCCAGUGCUGGCGCCCAGCCGUGAGCGGCCACCCUCGUCCUCGUCUGGCUCGCAGGUGGCUACAUCGGGCCAGCUGGAGGAGAUCAACACCAAAGAGGUGGCCCAGCGCAUCACCGCCGAGCUGAAGCGCUACAGCAUCCCACAGGCGAUCUUCGCGCAGAGGGUGCUGUGCCGGUCUCAGGGGACUCUCUCCGACCUGCUCCGCAACCCAAAACCGUGGAGUAAACUCAAAUCUGGCAGGGAGACCUUUCGCAGGAUGUGGAAGUGGCUGCAGGAGCCCGAGUUCCAGCGCAUGUCCGCCUUACGCCUGGCAGUUGUGGGACAAGGGACGGGGUGCGCGAUGUCCCCUAGGAGCUUUCUCUUUACAGGACUUACAGAGACCCGGGAUUGGCCUUUUUCAAAGCCCUGUGCACUUGAACUCUUGCUUAGACAAUACAUUUCAGUUUUCCAGGCUGCCUGGUUUCCCUGUAUGGAGGCAGUUGAGGGGCUUUGCUCUUGA